AAAGGAUAUUAAGAUGGUCAUCUACAUCUAUUUCUUUGGUUUAGCUUUUCUUUGUUUUGUCCUUCCUCCAUCUGUCAUGAUAGCAAUGUACUGUUGGAUUAAAAAGAUACAAAAAAAGGUGGAAGGAAGUAGGGGAAUGCAACAAAUAAG
rnacentral:ribozyme from 1 species